rnacentral:lncRNA from 1 species
GGGGAUGAAAGUACAAAGGUUUAGCAAAUUAAAGACAGAUAAAAAAAACAAAGAAAAAACAGUGCAGCUGAGAUAUAACAGGUAUAGUAGAAAGCAUCAGGCUAAUGUUGUGGCAGAGCUCAAGGCCCUGGAUCGUAGGCUGCAGAGUGGAUCUUGCAUUCGUCUCAGAGCAACCUCAGUUUGUCCGUGGUAUCUCCCCACCAGACAAGCAGUAAAUCAGGCCCAUUAUCUGUAUUCGUAAUGUAAAUAGAACUAGAGGAAGAGAGAAUGUCCAUUCAAAGAGCUGGGAAAAAAAGCUACGGCCACGGUGUUGGGAAUAUGACGCAAAAGGGAAAUGCACAUCAGAAGAACAUGACUUGAAAGGGUGAGUAGAGCAUGUAAUCCUGGUUUGCAAUUCAGCUCUUCUUGAUCAGUGAACUGACACAUAGCUGUGUUUUUUCCAGGUAAAUGAUGAAG